UUGUAAAUUUAGCCUUAGCGUUGGGGUAUAAGAGAGAUACCUGAGCGUGACGGUAACACCCAUUUUUAUUUUGGUUAGCCCUUCCGUAACGUAUUGUA